rnacentral:rRNA from 2 species
CGUAGAUAUAUGGAAGAACACCAGUGGCGAAGGCGGCUACCUGGUCUGCAACUGACGCUGAGACUCGAAAGCAUGGGUAGCGAACAGGAUUAGAUACCCUGGUAGUCCAUGCCGUAAACGAUGAGUGCUAGGUGUUGGAGGGUUUCCGCCCUUCAGUGCCGGAGCUAACGCAUUAAGCACUCCGCCUGGGGAGUACGACCGCAAGGUUGAAACUCAAAGGAAUUGACGGGGGCCCGCACAAGCGGUGGAGCAUGUGGUUUAAUUCGAAGCUACGCGAAGAACCUUACCAGGUCUUGACAUCUUGCGCCAACCCUAGAGAUAGGGCGUUUCCUUCGGGAACGCAAUGACAGGUGGUGCAUGGUCGUCGUCAGCUCGUGUCGUGAGAUGUUGGGUUAAGUCCCGCAACGAGCGCAACCCUUGUUACUAGUUGCCAGCAUUAAGUUGGGCACUCUAGUGAGACUGCCGGUGACAAACCGGAGGAAGGUGGGGACGACGUCAGAUCAUCAUGCCCCUUAUGACCUGGGCUACACACGUGCUACAAUGGACGGUACAACGAGUCGCGAACUCGCGAGGGCAAGCAAAUCUCUUAAAACCGUUCUCAGUUCGGAACUGCAGGCUGCAACUCGCCUGCACG